rnacentral:rRNA from 1 species
AUCCGGAGGGUGCAAGCGUUAAUCGGAAUUACUGGGCGUAAAGGGCGCGUAGGCGGUCUAUCAAGUCAGGUGUGAAAUCCCACGGCUCAACCGUGGAGGUGCAUCUGAAACUGAUAGACUUGAGUAUGGGAGAGGAAAGUGGAAUUCCCGGUGUAGAGGUGAAAUUCGUAGAUAUCGGGAGGAACACCAGUGGCGAAGGCGACUUUCUGGACCAAUACUGACGCUGAGGCGCGAAAGCGUGGGGAGCAAACAGGAUUAGAAACCCUAGUAGUCC